ACAAGCGGUGGAUGAUGUGGAUUAAUUCGAUGCAACGCGAAAACCUUACUACCUUGACAUGUCCGGAAUCCCGAAGAGAUUUGGGAGUGCUCGCAAGAGAACCGGAACACAGGUGCUGCAUGGCUGUCGUCAGCUCGUGUCGUGAGAUGUUGGGUUAAGUCCCGCAACGAGCGCAACCCUUAUCAUUAGUUGCUACGCAAGGGCACUCUAAUGAGACUGCCGGUGACAAACCGGAGGAAGUGGGGAUGACGUCAAGUCCUCAUGGCCCUUAUGGGUAGGGCUUCACACGUCAUACAAUGGUCGGUACAGAGGGUUGCCAAGCCGCGAGGCGGAGCCAAUCCCACAAAGCCGAUCGUAGUCCGGAUUGUUCUCUGCAACUCGAGAGCAUGAAGUCGGAAUCGCUAGUAAUCGCAGGUCAGCAUACUGCGGUGAAUACGUUCCCGGGUCUU
rnacentral:rRNA from 1 species